GGCUUUGUAGCUCAGUUGGUAGAGCGCUUGCAGCGUUUGAGCAUGCUGUUUCUGUCGCUGAUUUGAAUCCAGCCGAAGUCC
rnacentral:tRNA from 1 species